rnacentral:rRNA from 1 species
AUUGAACGCUGGCGGAAUGCUUUACACAUGCAAGUCGAACGGCAGCACGGGGCAACCUGGUGGCGAGUGGCGAACGGGUGAGUAAUACAUCGGAACGUGCCCAAUCGUGGGGGAUAACGUAGCGAAAGUUACGCUAAUACCGCAUACGAUCUACGGAUGAAAGCGGGGGAUCGCAAGACCUCGCGCGAGUGGAGCGGCCGAUGUCAGAUUAGGUAGUUGGUGGGGUAAAGGCUCACCAAGCCAACGAUCUGUAGCUGGUCUGAGAGGACGACCAGCCACACUGGAACUGAGACACGGUCCAGACUCCUACGGGAGGCAGCAGUGGGGAAUUUUGGACAAUGGGCGCAAGCCUGAUCCAGCCAUUCCGCGUGCAGGAUGAAGGCCU